CCUACGGGAGGCAGCAGUGAGGAAUAUUGGUCAAUGGCCGUAAGGCUGAACCAGCCAAGUCGCGUGAAGGAAGAAGGAUCUAUGGUUUGUAAACUUCUUUUAUAGGGGAAUAAAGGUAUCCACGUGUGGAUAUCUGCAUUUAACCUAUGAAUAAGCAUCGGCUAACUCCGGGCCAGCAGCCGCGGUAAUACGGAGGAUGCGAGCGUUAUCCGGAUUUAUGGGGUUUAAAGGGUGCGUAGGUUGUUUUUUAAGUCAGCGGUGAAAGUUUGUGGCUCAACCAUAAAAUUGCCGUUGAAACUGGAAGACUUGAGUGUGUUUGAGGUAGGCGGAAUGCGUGGUGUAGCGGUGAAAUGCAUAGAUAUCACGCAGAACUCCGAUUGCGAAGGCAGCUUACUAAGCCAUAACUGACACUGAAGCACGAAAGCGUGGGGAUCAAACAGGAUUAGAUACCCUAGUAGUC
rnacentral:rRNA from 1 species